CGUACACUCCUACGGGAGGCAGCAGUGGGGAAUAUUGGACAAUGGGCGCAAGCCUGAUCCAGCCAUGCCGCGUGAGUGAUGAAGGCCCUAGGGUUGUAAAGCUCUUUCACCGGAGAAGAUAAUGACGGUAUCCGGAGAAGAAGCCCCGGCUAACUUCGUGCCAGCAGCCGCGGUAAUACGAAGGGGGCUAGCGUUGUUCGGAAUUACUGGGCGUAAAGCGCACGUAGGCGGAUCGAUCAGUCAGGGGUGAAAUCCCAGGGCUCAACCCUGGAACUGCCUUUGAUACUGUCGAUCUGGAGUAUGGAAGAGGUGAGUGGAAUUCCGAGUGUAGAGGUGAAAUUCGUAGAUAUUCGGAGGAACACCAGUGGCGAAGGCGGCUCACUGGUCCAUUACUGACGCUGAGGUGCGAAAGCGUGGGGAGCAAACAGGAUUAGAAACCCUUGUAGUCCCAUG
rnacentral:rRNA from 1 species